rnacentral:rRNA from 1 species
GGACCCGCACAAGUAGUGGAGCAUGUGGUUUAAUUCGAAGAUACGCGCAGAACCUUACCAACACUUGACAUGUUCGUCGCGACUUUAAGAGAUUAAAGUUUUCGGUUCGGCCGGACGAAACACAGGUGCUGCAUGGCUGUCGUCAGCUCGUGUCGUGAGAUGUUGGGUUAAGUCCCGCAACGAGCGCAACCCUCACUUUUAGUUGCCAUCAUUUAGUUGGGCACUCUGAAAGAACUGCCAGUGAUAAGCUGGAGGAAGGUGGGGAUGACGUCAAGUCCUCAUGGCCCUUACGUGUUGGGCUACACACGUGCUACAAUGAUAUCUACAAAAGGAAGCAAGACGGCGACGUU